ACGACCUAAAGCUCCGGUGAACCAUUCCCAACGGCGAGAACUAUUCUUUCGAAGAGAACAAAUGGAGUCAACAAGACUCUACUUGCGUUCGAAUAACCCAGGAAUGACGAUGGUGAUGAUAACUGGCUCGGCGGUGCUGAAGCAUUCGGCUAGAGUGUACACUGUUGCGGUUGGAUGGUCACG